GUAGGUGGCAAGCGUUGUCCGGAAUUAUUGGGCGUAAAGCGCGCGCAGGCGGUUCUUUAAGUCUGAUGUGAAACGCCCACGGCUCAACCGUGGAGGGUCAUUGGAAACUGGAGAACUUGAGUACAGAAGAGGAAAGCGGAAUUCCACGUGUGGCGGUGAAAUGCGUAGAGAUGUGGAGGAACACCAGUGGCGAAGGCGGCUUUCUGGUCUGUAACUGACGCUGAGGCGCGAAAGCGUGGGGAGCAAACAGGGAUUAGAUACCCUGGUAGUCCACGCCGUAAACGAUGAGUGCUAAGUGUUAGGGGGGGUUUCCCGCCCCCCUUAGUGCUGCAGCUAACGCAUUAAGCACUCCGCCUGGGGAGUACGGCCGCAAGGCUG
rnacentral:rRNA from 1 species